rnacentral:rRNA from 1 species
CCUACGGGUGGCAGCAGUGAGGAAUAUUGGUCAAUGGACGCAAGCCUGAACCAGCCAAGCAGCGUGCAGGAUGACUGCCCUACGGGUUGUAAACUUCUUUUAUAAAAGGAUAAACUCCGGCACGUGUACCUUUUUGUAUGUAUUUUAUGAAUAAGGAUCGGCUAACUCCGUGCCAGCAGCCGCGGUAAUACGGAGGAUCCGAGCGUUAUCCGGAUUUAUUGGGUUUAAAGGGAGCGUAGAUGGUUUGUUAAGUCAGUUGUGAAAGUUUGCGGCUCAACCGUAAAAUUGCAAUUGAUACUGGCAGCCUUGAGUACAGUUGAGGUAGGUGGAAUUCGUGGUGUAGCGGUGAAAUGCUUAGAUAUCACGAAGAACUCCGAUUGCGAAGGCAGCCUACUAAACUGCCACUGACAUUGAUGCUCGAAAGUGUGGGUAUCAAACAGGAUUAGAUACCCCUGUAGUC